GCCUGGGUAGCUCAAUCGGUUGGGUGUCUGACUUUGGCGCAGGUCAUGAUCUCAUAGUUCGUGGGUUCAAGCCCCACGUUGGGCU
rnacentral:tRNA from 1 species